rnacentral:misc_RNA from 1 species
UUUCCGUAGGUGAACCUGCGGAAGGAUCAUUAUUGUAUAACCGAGGUGCGAGGGCUGUCGCUGACCCGUAAGGUCGUGCGCGCCCGAGUGCCCUCACACCCAUCCAUUUCACCUCUAUGUGUACCACCGCGCGGGUCCCCCUUUGGCUGUUUCGCAGGGGGCCUUACGAUUCCACCCAAACUUUGUAUUCCUUGUAGCACGUUUUUUUUGUUUUUGCGAUCAAGCAACCAAUAUAACUUUCAACAACGGAUUUUUUGGCUCUCGCACCCGUGCAGAAAA